AAAUCUUAACCAUUUAUUUUUUUAAAUAGAUGGUUAAGAUGUAAUAUGAUUCUAGAGAUGACCUACUAUUCAAACAUCUGUACCAUUCAUCAUAUUUUGGCCUUAGAAAAAAUUUUUAGUCUACAAAACCGGUUUUAUCCAACUAAGAAUACUAUAACCUUCUCAAAUACCUAUAGCAAUAGUUGAAAUUCAAAUUACAACUAAACUGUAAAUUUAAAUGCAAAGCAACAUAAAAAACUUAAUUAUAAAUCAAAUUCAACUUUUAAAUAUAAAACACAAAUUUAAAAUAAAACUUUCAGUUCAAAUUCAAAAUUUUAAUUUAAAUCAAAAAUUAAAAUUUGACUUUCAGAUUAAAACUACAAUAUAGAUUCAAAAUUUAAAAUUUUAAUAUAAUUUUUGAAAUUAAAAUUUUACAUUACAAUACGAACUUCAAAAAUUAAAUUUAAAUUUAAUAUUUUUUUGAGUUGGAUAAUUAACAAAUUGGGUAUUAUCUAAUUUGGUAAGUAACAAAAUUAAAUAAAAUAUUUAAUAUUAUAGGAUGCUAACAAAUUUGGCAUAUACUACUAAUUUUUUUUCAAUAAUAUCAUAUUAACUAAUUCAAUUCGAUAACAUGUUUAAUAGGUUACUUUAUGUAAAAUCCAACUAUACCCUUUACUAAUUAAAAGUUUGAUUUUAAUACUUAUGGUGUAUUGAAGUAUUGCUCUAAGGGCAUGUUUGGUUCAUCUAUUUUAGACUAUGGAAUCGGAAUGGAAUUCAUUGAUUCCGAUAGUUGCCGUUUGUUUUAUAGGAAUAAGAUUCCGAUUCUCAUUUCACUCCGGAAUGGGAAUGACCAAAUCCAUUUAUAAUUCAAUCCGACUUUGAAUCCCAGAAUGGCUGAUUCCAAAAUAAACUAUUCAAAAUCCUCUUUCACCAACACCGAUCUUCUCUCUCUUCAUCACUUUUUUCUUUCUUAAUCAAAACUCUCUCUCAAAUAUUUUAAAUUUUCAUUCCAAUUUCGAUUCCAAUAAUGAACCAAAUAUUUUGAAUGAUUCGUCAUUCCAUUUUCCAUUCCAAAACAAUCCAAUUCUAUUUUUCAUUUCUAUUCCAAUCAUGAACCAAACAUGCCCUAAAAGUUAUUGCCGGAUAACUUAAUUACCACUCCAUUCAAAGCAUUUGU
rnacentral:lncRNA from 1 species